rnacentral:rRNA from 1 species
CAAACUUGAGAGUUUGAUCCUGGCUCAGAAUGAACGCUGGCGGCAUGCCUAACACAUGCAAGUCGAACGAAGGCUUCGGCCUUAGUGGCGCACGGGUGCGUAACGCGUGGGAAUCUGCCCUUGGGUUCGGAAUAACAGUUAGAAAUGACUGCUAAUACCGGAUGAUGUCGAAAGACCAAAGAUUUAUCGCCCAAGGAUGAGCCCGCGUAGGAUUAGCUAGUUGGUGAGGUAAAAGCUCACCAAGGCGACGAUCCUUAGCUGGUCUGAGAGGAUGAUCAGCCACACUGGGACUGAGACACGGCCCAGACUCCUACGGGAGGCAGCAGUGGGGAAUAUUGGACAAUGGGCGAAAG